rnacentral:rRNA from 1 species
UUAGGCGAUUUGACAUGGGCGAACCCUGAACCACCAGCCGCGUGAGCGAUGAAGGCCUUUGGGUUGUAAACAUCUUUCGCCCGGGACGAAAAUGACAGUACCCUAAGAAGAAGCUCCGGCUAACUCCGUGCCAGCAGCCGCGGUUUUAAUUCGUGCCACCAGCCGCGGUA